rnacentral:rRNA from 1 species
AUACAGAGGGUGCGAGCGUUAAUCGGAAUUACUGGGCGUAAAGCGCGCGUAGGCGGCUUGGUCAGUCGGAUGUGAAAGCCCCGGGCUCAACCUGGGAAUGGCAUUCGAUACUGUCAGGCUAGAGUAUGGGAGAGGGAAGUGGAAUUUCCGGUGUAGCGGUGAAAUGCGUAGAUAUCGGAAAGAACACCAGUGGCGAAGGCGACUUCCUGGCCCAAUACUGACGCUGAGGUGCGAAAGCGUGGGGAGCGAACAGGAUUAGAAACCCUAGUAGUCC